AGUGAACGCUGGCGGUAGGCCUAACACAUGCAAGUCGAACGGCAGCACAGUAAGAGCUUGCCCUUACGGGUGGCGAGUGGCGGACGGGUGAGGAAUACAUCGGAAUCUACUUUUUCGUGGGGGAUAACGUAGGGAAACUUACGCUAAUACCGCAUACGACCUACGGGUGAAAGCAGGGGAUCUUCGGACCUUGCGCGAUUGAAUGAGCCGAUGUCGGAUUAGCUAGUUGGCGGGGUAAAGGCCCACCAAGGCGACGAUCCGUAGCUGGUCUGAGAGGAUGAUCAGCCACACUGGAACUGAGACACGGUCCAGACUCCUACGGGAGGCAGCAGUGGGGAAUAUUGGACAAUGGGCGCAAGCCUGAUCCAGCUAUACCGCGUGGGUGAAGAAGGCCUUCGGGUUGUAAAGCCCUUUUGUUGGGAAAGAAAAGCAGCAGGUUAAUACCCCGCUGUUCUGACGGUACCCAAAGAAUAAGCACCGGCUAACUUCGUG
rnacentral:rRNA from 1 species